CCGUGUGAAUCUGCGAGGACCAUCUCGUAAGGCUAAAUACUACUGUGUGACCGAUAGUGAACCAGUACCGCGAGGGAAAGGUGAAAAGAACCCCGGAAGGGGAGUGAAAUAGAACAUGAAACCAUCAGCCAUCAAGCAGUGGAAGGACGAUUUAACGUCUGACCGCGUGCCUGUUGAAGAAUGAGCCGGCGACUUAUAAGCAGUGGCAGGUUAAAGCAUGAUGUGCUGAAGCCAAAGCGAAAGCGAGUUUGAAUAGAGCGGUCGUCACUGAUUAUAGACCCGAACCCGGGUGAUCUAACCAUGUCCAGGAUGAAGCUUGGGUAACACCAAGUGGAGGUCCGCACCG
rnacentral:rRNA from 15 species